rnacentral:rRNA from 1 species
GAUGAACGCUAGCGGCAGGGCUUAACACAUGCAAGUCGAGGGGCAGCGCGGGGUAGCAAUACCCUGGCGGCGACCGGCGAAAGGGUGAGUAACGCGUGAGCAACGUGCCCGUAUGUGGGGGAUAGUCAUUAGAAAUGAUGCGUAAUACCCCGUAACACAUGGAUCCGCAUGGUUCCAUGUUGAAAGAUUUAUUGCAUACGGAUCGGCUCGCGUGCCAUUAGCUGGAUGGCGGGGUAACGGCCCACCAUGGCGACGAUGGCUAGGGGUUCUGAGAGGAAGGUCCCCACAUUGGAACUGAGACACGGUCCAGACUCCUACGGGAGGCAGCAGUGAGGAAUAUUGGACAAUGGCCGGAAGGCUGAUCCAGCCAUGCCGCGUGCGGGAAGACGGCCCUAUGGGUUGUAAACCGCUUUUGCGGGGAGCAAUAAGAGCAACGCGUUGCUCGAUGAGAGUACCCUGCGAAUAAGCAUCGGCUAACUCCGUGCC